GUUUCUGUAGUUAAAUGCUGUAACGAUGGCUUUUCAGGCCGUAGAUCUCGGAGAGAGGCCGAGCAGGAAUU
rnacentral:tRNA from 1 species